AAGACUAUAUUUUCAGGGAUCAUUUCUAUAGUUUUUUUUUACUUGGAAAUGUGUUUCAAAAGUGUUUGUCUCCCAACCCGCGAUGAUGAGCUGUGAUGCUUCUUUCUGAGAGUGAAUCAAAGACGGAGCUGUGGCUUUGGUUGCAGUCUCCGUCGUUGAUGAGCGUUUCCUAUUGCUUUUGGCAAUAUUGGCAAAAGGAGUAUGAUCUGAAUGGU